rnacentral:rRNA from 1 species
UACGAAGGGGGCUAGCGUUGCUCGGAAUCACUGGGCGUAAAGGGUGCGUAGGCGGGUCUUUAAGUCAGGGUGAAAUCCUGGAGCUCAACUCCAGAACUGCCUUUGAUACUGAGGAUCUUGAGUUCGGGAGAGGUGAGUGGAACUGCGAGUGUAGAGGUGAAAUUCGUAGAUAUUCGCAAGAACACCAGUGGCGAAGGCGGCUCACUGGCCCGAUACUGACGCUGAGGCACGAAGCGUGGGGAGCAAACAGG